GCGUGGAUGGUUUAGUGGUAAAAUCCAUCGUUGCCAUCGAUGGGCCCCGGGUUCGAUUCCCGGUCCACGCA
rfam:Escovopsis weberi scaffold00001, whole genome shotgun sequence.